CUCUAUACGGAUCCGAAUGGACCGUUGGAGUUGGUCUGGUCAGCAGGUUUGGCGCAUUUCUCGGUAGUGUGCGUCAACAAGUGUUGGAACCAAGCUAUAAGCCCUGCAAGGAGGUGGCUGGCUUCGGCUAGUGUUAUAACUUGUAGUGUGCGAGCUUGGGUUCGACAGAGGAGUCGCGGCACAUGCUCUCUCGGGCUGGCCUCUUCUCUCUCAGUUCGUAUCUAACCAUGACGGACUGCACGCAGUGCGUUUGAACCUGUGCGGGCUGUCGAGGGGAUGAGUGCACACUCUGUGCCAAGGUUGUUGGCGGUCAUAUGAUUUCAUACGACCCGUCUUGAAACACGGACCAAGGAGUCUAACAUGUGUGCGAGUCUUAGGGUGAACGAAACCCGCAGGCAUAAUGAAAGUAAAGGCUGCUUGCAGCUGAAGUGAGAUCUCUCUCGUCUGGGAGCGCAUCAUUGACCGACCUAUUCUACUCCUAGAAAGGUUUGAGUAAGAGCACAUCUGUUGGGACCCGAAAGAUGGUGAACUAUGCUUGAGUAGGGCGAAGCCAGAGGAAACUCUGGUGGAGGCUCGUAGCGAUUCUGACGUGCAAAUCGAUCGUCAAACUUGAGUAUAGGGGCGAAAGACUAAUCGAACCAUCUAGUAGCUGGUUCCCUCCGAAGUUUCCCUUAGGAUAGCUGGAACUCGGAACAGUUUUAUCAGGUAAAGCGAAUGAUUAGAGGCCUUAGGGUUGAAACAACCUUAACCUAUUCUCAAACUUUAAAUUGGUAAGAAGCCCGACUUGCUUAAUUGAAGUAGGGCACAGAAUGAGAGUUCUAAGUGGGCCAUUUUUGGUAAGCAGAACUGGCGAUGCGGGAUGAACCGAACGCUGAGUUAAGGCGCCUAAAUCGACGCUCAUCAGACCCCACAAAAGGUGUUGGUUGAUCUAGACAGCAGGACGGUGGCCAUGGAAGUCGGAACCCGCUAAGGAGUGUGUAACAACACACCUGCCGAAUCAACUAGCCCUGAAAAUGGAUGGCGCUCAAGCGUCGUGCCUAUACUCGGCCGUCAGAGUAAAUAGCGAAGCUCUGACGAGUAGGAGGGCGUGGGGGUCGUGGCGAAGCCUUUGGCGUGAGCCUGGGUGAAACGGCCUCUAGUGCAGAUCUUGGUGGUAGUAGCAAAUAUUCAAAUGAGAACUUUGAAGACCGAAGUGGAGAAAGGUUCCAUGUGAACAGCAGUUGGACAUGGGUUAGUCGAUCCUAAGAGAUAGGGAAACUCCGUUUCAAAGUGCCCGAUCUUGGGCCGUUUAUCGAAAGGGAAUCGGGUUAAUAUUCCCGAACCGGAACGUGGAUAUUCUGGUCCUUCUGGGUCAGAUUUGCGGCAACGCAACUGAACUCGGAGACGUCGGCAGGAGCCCUGGGAAGAGUUCUCUUUUCUUGUUAACGACCUGAAACCAUGGAAUCUGAUUGCCAGGAGAUAUGGUCCAAUGGUCGGUAAAGCACCACACUUCUUGUGGUGUCCGGUGCGCUCCUGAAGGCCCUUGAAAAUCCGAGGGAAAGAUUGAUUUUCACGUCCGUUCGUACUCAUAACCGCAGCAGGUCUCCUAGGUGAGCAGCCUCUGGUCGAUAGAACAAUGUAGGUAAGG
rnacentral:rRNA from 1 species